UCGUCGCCAGAGGACUUGCUGUUGUACCCGGCGCCGCCGGUGUACGCGUCAUCGCCAGAGGACUUGCUGUUGUACCCGCCGCCGGUGCCACGGCGGCCGUACUCGUCGUCGUUGGUGCCCGAUUUGUUGUACCCACCGUCGUAGUCGUCCUUGCCGGACUUGUUGUACCCACCGCCGCCGGUGCCACGGCCGUAGUCGUCGCCGCCGGACCUGUCGUACCCAUCGCCGCCACUGCGGCGGCCGUAGUCGUCGCCGCCGGACUCGUUGUAGCCACCUUCGCCACGGCCGUAGUCAUCAGUCCUGGACUUGCUGUUGUAGCCGCUGUCGUAGUCGUCGCCGGCGCCGG
rnacentral:lncRNA from 1 species